AUACGGGAGGCAGCAGUGGGGAAUAUUGGACAAUGGGCGCAAGCCUGAUCCAGCCAUGCCGCGUGGGUGAAGAAGGCCUUCGGGUUGUAAAGCCCUUUUGUCCGGAAAGAAAAGCUUCGGGCUAAUACCCCGGGGUCCUGACGGUACCGGAAGAAUAAGCACCGGCUAACUUCGUGCCAGCAGCCGCGGUAAUACGAAGGGUGCAAGCGUUACUCGGAAUUACUGGGCGUAAAGCGUGCGUAGGUGGUUUGUUAAGUCUGAUGUGAAAGCCCUGGGCUCAACCUGGGAAUUGCAUUGGAUACUGGCAGGCUAGAGUGCGGUAGAGGAUGGCGGAAUUCCCGGUGUAGCAGUGAAAUGCGUAGAGAUCGGGAGGAACAUCUGUGGCGAAGGCGGCCAUCUGGACCAGCACUGACACUGAGGCACGAAAGCGUGGGGAGCAAACAGGAUUAGAUACCCCGGUAGUCCU
rnacentral:rRNA from 1 species